AGGGCACCACCAGGAGUGGAGCCUGCGGCUUAAUUUGACUCAACACGGGAAAACUUACCCGGCCCGGACACUGGAAGGAUUGACAGAUUGAGAGCUCUUUCUUGAUUCAGUGGGUGGUGGUGCAUGGCCGUUCUUAGUUGGUGGAGCGAUUUGUCUGGUUAAUUCCGAUAACGAACGAGACUCUAGCCUACUAAAUAGACUGUUCAGCUUUAUAGCCGGAAUCACCGGGCAUGUAGCUCUCACGGGUUGCGUGUUCGGCUCUGGUGACGUUGGCAGUGCUUCUUAGAGGGACAGGCGGCGGUUCAGCCGCACGAAACAGAGCAAUAACAGGUCUGUGAUGCCCUUAGAUGUCCGGGGCUGCACGCGCGCUACACUGAAGCGAUCAGCGUGCAAUUUACGUUUGGUGUUCUGUCAAGAUUGCCCAACCCGUUGAACCUUCUUCGUGAUUGGGAUAGGGGAUUGUAAUUAUUCCCCUUGAACGAGGAAUUCCCAGUAAGCGCAAGUCAUAAGCUUGCGUUG
rnacentral:rRNA from 1 species